GCUCCUGUAGUCUAGUGGUUAUGAUACUUCGUUGUGGCUGUUGCUUACAUAAGCAUUACGUAAUCACCGAAGCGGCCUGUGUUCAAUUCACAGCAGGGGCA